rnacentral:rRNA from 1 species
GCGAGUGAAGCGGCAAGAGCUCAGAUUUGAAAUCGUGUUUCGGCACGAGUUGUAAAUUGCAGGUUGGAGUCUUUGUGGAAGUGCGUGUCCAAGUCCCUUGGAACAGGGCGCCAUUGAGGGUGAGAGCCCCGUGGGAUGCGCAUUGAAGCUGUAAGGCCCUUCUGACGAGUCGAGUUGUUUGGGAAUGCAGCUCUAAGCGGGUGGUAAAUUCCAUCUAAGGCUAAAUAUUGGCGAGAGACCGAUAGCGAACAAGUACUGUGAAGGAAAGAUGAAAAGCACUUUGAAAAGAGAGUGAAACAGCACGUGAAAUUGUUGAAAGGGAAGGGUAUUGGGUCCGACAUGGGGACUGCGCAUCGUUGCUUCUUGUAGGCGGCGCUCUGUGCUCUCUCUGGGCCAGCAUCGGUUUUUGCCGCAGGAUAAGGGGCGUUGGAACGUGGCUCCUCGGAGUGUUAUAGCCAACGCCAGAUGCUGCGAGCGGGGACCGAGGGCUGCGACAUUUGUCUCGGAUGCUGGCAUAACGGCUCAAUACCGCCC